rnacentral:rRNA from 1 species
UACGUAGGGGGCAAGCGUUGUCCGGAGUUACUGGGCGUAAAGCGCACGCAGGCGGUCCAUCGCGUCGAGGGUGACAGUGCUCGGCUUAACUGAGCAAGUGCUCUUGAAACGGGGGGACUUGAGGGCCAGAGAGGGAGACGGAACUCCGGGUGGAGCGGUGAAAUGCGUAGAGAUCCGGAAGAACACCAAAGGCGAAGGCAGUCUCCUGGCUGGUCCCUGACGCUCAGGUGCGAAAGCGAGGGGAG